GAUGAACGCUGGCGGCGUGCCUAAUACAUGCAAGUCGAGCGAACAGACGAGGAGCUUGCUCCUCUGACGUUAGCGGCGGACGGGUGAGUAACACGUGGAUAACCUACCUAUAAGACUGGGAUAACUUCGGGAAACCGGAGCUAAUACCGGAUAAUAUAUUGAACCGCAUGGUUCAAUAGUGAAAGACGGUUUUGCUGUCACUUAUAGAUUGAUCCGCGCCGCAUUAGCUAGUUGGUAAGGUAACGGCUUACCAAGGCAACGAUGCGUAGCCGACCUGAGAGGGUGAUCGGCCAAACUGGAACUGAGACACGGUACAGAGUCCUACGGGAGGCAGCAGUAGGGAAUAUUACGCAAUGGGCGAAAGCCUGACGGAGCAACGCGGAGUGAGUGAUGAAGGUCUUCGGAUCGUAAAACUCUGUUAUUAGGGAAGAACAAAUGUGUAAGUAACUAUGCACGUAUUGACGGUACCUAAUCAGAAAGCCACGGCUAACUACGUG
rnacentral:rRNA from 1 species